UUUCCGUAGGUGAACCUGCGGAAGGAUCAUCACCAAAAACAACAAACAAAAACUGUAUAAAAACCCUACCGGAGAGAGGGAGAAGAGAGAGAGAGAGAGAGAGGGGGGGGGGAGAGAGGGAGAGGGAGGAGAGAGGGAGGAGAGGGGUUCGCCCCUCCUUUUCUUUCUUUUUCUUUUUUCCUUUCUUUUCUUUUUUUUUCUUUUUCCUCCCCCCUCCCUCCCCCUGGUCGGUGUUAAAAACGUGCCCUUCCUUUCCAAUAUUAUUAUUAACGCCCUUUACCAGAAAGAAAAAAAAAAAAUGUUCUUAAAAACAACAAUAAAACAAAAAAACGAAAAGACAACUUUUAACAACGGAUCUCUUGGCUCUC
rnacentral:misc_RNA from 1 species